AGCAUAAGGCCAAGGGGUAAAAGGGAAACAGGUGGAAGACCUGUGCGAACUCGUCACCGUGACGCGGAGUAGUUAAGCCGAUAUGCCACUGGAUCUGUCCGGGAAGGCGGCUUGAAUAUGAUGAUGCCAAGCCGGGAAACCUGCCUUUAUUGUC
rnacentral:ncRNA from 1 species